rnacentral:rRNA from 1 species
UAGGGAAUCUUCCACAAUGGGCGCAAGCCUGAUGGAGCAACGCCGCGUGAGUGAAGAAGGUCUUCGGAUCGUAAAAUUCUGUUGUUAGAGAAGAACAUGCAGGAGAGUAACUGUUCUUGUAUUGACGGUAUCUAACCAGAAAGCCACGGCUAACUACGUGCCAA